rnacentral:rRNA from 1 species
UACGAAGGGGGCUAGCGUUGCUCGGAAUCACUGGGCGUAAAGGGUGCGUAGGCGGGUCUUUUAAGUCAGGGGUGAAAUCCUGGAGCUCAACUCCAGAACUGCCUUUGAUACUGAAGAUCUUGAGUUCGGGAGAGGUGAGUGGAACUGCGAGUGUAGAGGUGAAAUUCGUAGAUAUUCGCAAGAACACCAGUGGCGAAGGCGGCUCACUGGCCCGAUACUGACGCUGAGGCACGAAAGCGUGGGGAGCAAACAGGGAUUAGAAUCACCUAGUAC